rnacentral:rRNA from 1 species
GGAUGAGCCCGCGGCCUAUCAGCUUGUUGGUGGGGUAAUGGCCUACCAAGGCGGCGACGGGUAGCCGGCCUGAGAGGGUGUACGGCCACAUUGGGACUGAGAUACGGCCCAGACUCCUACGGGAGGCAGCAGUGGGGAAUAUUGCACAAUGGGCGCAAGCCUGAUGCAGCGACGCCGCGUGGGGGAUGAAGGCCUUCGGGUUGUAAACUCCUUUCGCUAGGGACGAAGCUUUGUUGUGACGGUACCUAGAUAAGAAGCACCGGCUAACUACGUGCCAGCAGCCGCGGUAAUACGUAGGGUGCGAGCGUUGUCCGGAAUUACUGGGCGUAAAGGGCUCGUAGGUGGUUUGUCGCGUCGUCUGUGAAAUUCUGGGGCUUAACUCCGGGCGUGCAGGCGAUACGGGCAUAACUUGAAUGCUGUAGGGGUAAAUGGU